rnacentral:snoRNA from 1 species
GGGUGUAUGAUGACAAACCAACGUCAUGUAACGAGGUGACGACAUAAAUAUCAUGCUGAGGUUGGGGCUGCUUAGACCC